rnacentral:rRNA from 1 species
AGUGAACGCUGGCGGCGUGCCUAAUACAUGCAAGUCGAACGAAGUGGCGCACGGGUGAGUAAUAUAUAGUUAAUCUGCCCUACACAGAGGAACAACAGUCGGAAACGACUGCUAAUACCUCAUAGUUUAGGAUGAGACUAUAUCAUAUCAGCUAGUUGGUAAGGUAAUGGUUUACCAAGGCUAUGACGGGUAACUGGUCUGAGUGGAUGAUCAGUCACGUUGGAUGUAAGAGGCGGUCCAGACUCCUACGGGAGGCAGCAGUAAGGAAUAUUGCGAAAUGGGGGAAGUCCUGACGAAGCAACGCCGCAUGGAGGAUGACACUUUUCGGAGCGUAAACUCCUUUUAUCAGGUAAGCGGUACCGGAUGAAUAAGCACCGGCUAACUCCGUGCCAGCCGCCGCGGUAAUUC